UUUGAUGUAGUGAACUGAAGUGACAUAUAGGAACGAAAUAUAUGCAAAAAAUAAUAUAAUCAUUAGUAAUGUUCUUCACAACUCAUAAACCGCUUUGAACAAGAUGCACCAACUACUAAUAUUUGCUAUUCUCUUGUCGACUGCUUGUGGUCAUCCGAUUGGGUUGAACAUAGUGCAUUACACAAAUCUACCUUUGUCGAACUAUGAUGACAGCUUUAUUGGACACGGAAAACCUGGCGGAAUUGGGAAUGCCUACCACAUGGCACCAUACUUCGGAUAUUCUGUAUUGAGUGAACCAAAUCACGUGUACAAAUUUGGAAGUUUUUUCGGUGGGAGAAAAAACAACCACAAGGUUUACUGACCAUUUUCAGACAGAAUUGGUGCCAAGCAUAAAUAAUAAAAAAGUCAUUUAAGUUUA